rnacentral:rRNA from 1 species
UAGGGAAUCUUCCGCAAUGGGCGAAAGCCUGACGGAGCAACGCCGCGUGAGUGAUGAAGGUCUUCGGAUCGUAAAACUCUGUUAUUAGGGAAGAACAAAUGUGUAAGUAACUAUGCACGUCUUGACGGUACCUAAUCAGAAAGCCACGGCUAACUACGUGCCAGCAGCCGCGGUAAUACGUAGGUGGCAAGCGUUAUCAGGAAUUAUUGGGCGUAAAGCGCGCGUAGGCGGUUUUUUAAGUCUGAUGUGAAAGCCCACGGCUCAACCGUGGAGGGUCAUUGGAAACUGGAAAACUUGAGUGCAGAAGAGGAAAGUGGAAUUCCAUGUGUAGCGGUGAAAUGCGCAGAGAUAUGGAGGAACACCAGUGGCGAAGGCGACUUUCUGGUCUGUAACUGACGCUGAUGUGCGAAAGCGUGGGGAUCAAACA